AGCGAACGCUGGCGGCAGGCUUAACACAUGCAAGUCGAACGAACUCUUCGGAGUUAGUGGCGGACGGGUGAGUAACACGUGGGAACGUGCCUUUAGGUUCGGAACAACUCCGGGAAACUGGAGCUAAUACCGUAUACGUCCUUCGGGAGAAAGAUUUAUCGGAGAUGGAUGAGCCCGCGUUGGAUUAGCUAGUUGGUGGGGUAAUGGCCUACCAAGGCUACGAUCAGUAGCUGGUCUGAGAGGAUGACCAGCCACAUUGGGACUGAGACACGGCCCAAACUCCUACGGGAGGCAGCAGUGGGGAAUCUUGCGCAAUGGGCGAAAGCCUGACGCAGCCAUGCCGCGUGGAUGAUGAAGGUCUUAGGAUUGUAAAAUCCUUUCACCGGUGAAGAUAAUGACUGUAGCCGGAGAAGAAGCCCCGGCUAACUUCGUGCCAGCCGCCGCGGUAAUAC
rnacentral:rRNA from 1 species